GUUUUAAUAGUUUACUAAUAAAACAUUGAUUUUGUAAAUCAAAGAAAAAUAUAUUUUUAAAACU
rnacentral:tRNA from 1 species